rnacentral:rRNA from 1 species
UACAGAGGGUGCGAGCGUUAAUCGGAAUUACUGGGCGUAAAGCGUGCGUAGGCGGUCAGCACAAGUCAGUUGUGAAAUCUCCGAGCUUAACUCGGAAAGGUCAACUGAUACUGUGCGACUAGAGUGCAGAAGGGGCAACUGGAAUUCUCGGUGUAGCGGUGAAAUGCGUAGAUAUCGAGAGGAACACCUGCGGCGAAGGCGGGUUGCUGGGCUGACACUGACGCUGAGGCGCGAAAGCUAGGGGAGCGAACGGG